rnacentral:rRNA from 1 species
AUUGAACGCUGGCGGCAGGCCUAACACAUGCAAGUCGAGCGAGCGGCGGACGGGUGAGUAAUGUCUGGGAAACUGCCUGAUGGAGGGGGAUAACUACUGGAAACGGUAGCUAAUACCGCAUACCAUCAGAUGUGCCCAGAUGGGAUUAGCUAGUAGGUGGGGUAAUUGCUCACCUAGGCGACGAUCCCUAACUGGUCUGACAGGAUGACCAGGCAAACUGGAACGGAGAAACGGUCCAGACUCCUACGGGAGGCAGCAGUGGGGAAUAUUGCACAAUGGGCGCAAGGCUGAUGCAGGCAUGCCGCGUGUGUGAAGAAGGCCUUCGGGUUGUAAAGCACUUUCAGCGGGGAGGCGUUACCCGCAGAAGAAGCACCGGCUAACUCCGUGCCAGCAGACGCGGUAAUAC